ACAACAGUAGAGUUAGCUAGUGAGAUCAUCAGCUUUCGUGGAAAUCUAUAAAUGUGAUUUUUUUUUUUUUUUUUUUUUUUUUUUUUUUAUGAAUAUAAAUUUUAAAUCUCCUCAACACACACACUUAUACUGCACUAGGGUUACGUCUUUGCACCCAGUCUGCGAGUUUUAAAUGCUGCUACAAACUAAUUUUCUAUAUAUUAAAUCUUCACUUAAUUAACUUAGUUAAUUUCCUUAUUUAAUCCUUAUAUAUCUGUCUUGUAGAGUAAAUCAGAGCACAUGGGGGACAAAGUUAGGGAGGCCAGAUUAAGAUGGUUUGGACAUGUCCAGAGGAGGGAGAGUGAGUAUAUUGGUAGGAGAAUGUUGGACAUGGGGCUGCCAGGCAGGAGGCAAAGAGGAGGUAUAUGGAUGGAAUGAAUGAGGAUAUGAAGCUAGUGGGUGUAAGUGUUGAGGAUGCAGAAGAUAGGGAUAGGUGGAGAGAGAUGAGAUGCGUGUGUGUGUGACCCGUUCACUUCAGUCCUCUGUUGAGAUACCCGAUUGCCUGAGGGAAGAAACUGUUCAACAGUCUGGUUGUGCGGGUCCGAAUGCUUCGGUACCUCUUUCCGGAUGGCAGAAGGGUGAAGAGUGUGUGUGAGGGGUGUGUGGGAUCAUCCACAAUGCUGUUAGCUUUGCGGAUGCAGCGUGUGGAGUAAAUGUCUGUAAUAGAGGGAAGAGAGACUCCGAUGAUCUUCUCAGCUGUCCUCACUGUCCGCUGAAGGGUCUUGCGAUCCGAGACGGUGCAGUUCCCAAACCAGGCAGUGAUGCAGCUGCUCAGGACGCUCUCGAUGGUCCCUCUGUAGAAGGUGGUCAGGAUGGGAGGUGGAAGAUGAGCCUUCCUCAACCUUCGCAGGAAGUAGAGACGCUGCUGGGCCUUUCUGGUGAUGGAGCUGGUGUUGAGUGACCAGGUGAGGUCCUCCGCCAGGUGAACACCAAGGGGUUUGGUGCUCUUGACGAUCUCCACGAUGGACCCAUCGAUGUUCAGUGGAGAAUGGUCACUCUUUGUUCUCCUGAAGUCAACAACCAUCUCUUUAAGAUGAUAGAUGGUAAGUGGUUAAGUAAAAAAAAAAAAAAACUUGCAGUGUUCAGUACAUAGUAAUUAUUUGGUGGUAAACAGAAAUGAUGGGGAUUAUAAAGCACUUCUAUCUUCCUGACCACCAGCUCGUUGUUUCCCAUCAUGUCACGCUUGCUUCUUGUUUGUUUGACCUUUUGAACUUAAUUUACUCUUAUGUGUAUUGCCAAGACAUAUUUUUUGAUUUUGUUUGUGUCAUGCAACAACACAAGGAAGUAACUUUUUAUAUUUAGAAGGGAUCUCAUCCUCAUCUAUUUGGUGAGAUUGAGUCACUUCCACAACAAUACUCAGUAUGCUGAAAGGACCUUCAGUAUGAGUUCAUGGAUUGCAGCGAGCUGCAGUGAGUGAGUCUCAGAUGAAAGAAGCUCUAAAAAGAGGUAGAGCAACAGGACCAGGACGACCGGCAUCUCAACGGGCUGCAGAAGUAGAUUGAUGGAGAGAAAGGAUUUACAAGUGGUGGAUCUUCGCGUGUCAGCUGUCUGAAGGCUGAUGUCACUGUGUUUUACAGAAUGUCAAGAAAUAUUACAGUAGCAGCGAUCCUCAUGUUACUGACAGGAGUUCAGGCUCAGCACAGUGUAACUCUCUCCUCUCAGAGUCUCUGUGUUGUUACUGGAUCUACAGUAAAAAUCCCCUGUAGAUUUACAAAACCAUAUUACUCCACAGUCACAGAGAGAGAGUGGUAUCGAGUCCAGAGCUCUGAAGGAGAACCACGAGACCUGAACAACGAUCCAGAAUACUCAGGACGAGUGUCUGUAAGCACCUGGUGGUCUGACUGUGAGCUGACAGUGAGGAAUGUGAGAGUGAGUGACUCUGGAGUUUAUAACUUUAGAUUUAAAACACAGAGCAGUGACUGGAUAUCAGCCUCAUCUGGAGUACAACUGACUGUUACAGGUGUACUGGGUAAAAAGUGUUGGGGUGUGACUUAUACUCCUGAACAUGUGUGUGCUCUAAAAAACACAUCGAUUGAUCUUUCCUGCUCUUAUAAAUAUCCUGCAGGCCUCACAGUGACAAAAUCAGUGUGGUUCAUUAAAAAGCAUGUUAAUGUUAAGCAUGAGGAUGUGAGAAAGGAUGAGGAGUAUCAGGGUCGAGUGCAGUACACACAGAGCUCCCAGAAUGACUGUAGUCUGAGAAUCACUAACCUGAGAGAGAGAGACGCUCAAACAUACAGGUUCAGAUUCUACACUAAUGAUCCUGCAGGAAAAUACACCGGAGAACCUGGAGUCACUCUGUCUGUCACAGAUCUGAAGGUUACAGUAUCAGACUCGGGUAGUGGACAAAUCAAGCUGAACUGCAUCACCACCUGCACUCUGUCUAACAACCCCACUUACAUCUGGUACAAGAACGGACGGCGUGUGUCUGAGUGUAAAUCUGCCUCCUGCUCUGUAGCUGCAGUCGGUGGUGUGGUCAGUUACAGCUGUGCUGUUGAAGGUCAUGACAGUCUCCUCUCUCCUCCAGUGUAUUCCCCUACAAACACCAGAGCAGUGGUUCUUCCCUCUGGAGACACAGUGGAGGGAGAUUCAGUGACUCUGAGCUGUAGCAGUGAUGCAAACCCUCCUGUUCUCACCUACUCCUGGUUUAAGCAGAGUGCAGCUGCAGACACACUGCUGACAACAGGCCAGAAUUACAGCAUCAGCAACAUCAGCUCCCAGGACAGUGGACUGUACUACUGCACUGCUCACCACCAGCUGGGAAACCACACCUCUACACCAACACACCUGGAUGUGUUAUAUCCUCCUAAAAACACCAGCGCAGUGGUUCUUCCCUCUGGAGACACAGUGGAGGGAGAUUCAGUGACUCUGAGCUGUAGCAGUGAUGCAAACCCUCCUGUUCUCACCUACUCCUGGUUUAAGCAGAGUGCAGCUGCAGACACACUGCUGACAACAGGCCAGAAUUACAGCAUCAGCUACAUCAGCUCCCAGGACAGUGGACUGUACUACUGCACUGCUCACCACCAGCUGGGAAACCACACCUCUACACCAACACACCUGGAUGUGUUAGUGUCAUGGGUUGCCAGUUCUUCACGAUAUUACGGUUUAGGAGUGAAGGUUCCGAGAAGCACACAAUGUUAAAGCCCAUCAUAGAGGGACUGUUGGUCUUCCUGGCAUUAACACUCAUCCCAGGAACUCUGUGGAUGUGGAAGAGGAAGAGGAGCUCAGCUAAUGGCCACAGCAGCACUGGUGAGAGUGGACAGUCUGCUGCCGCGUUUGCAAAUAUCCCCACCUCAUACCACAGAGGAAGAGUCGCCUCAGACGAUCAGGAUGACAUUCACUACACC